AAUCUAUUGGCAGAUUAGUGCACUAAGUUUAAGCCUUAGAAAUGAAAUUUAAUCAAUUUAAAGAACC
rnacentral:tRNA from 1 species